GAUGAACGCUGGCGGCGUGCCUAAUACAUGCAAGUCGAGCGAACGGACGAGAAGCUUGCUUCUCUGAUGUUAGCGGCGGACGGGUGAGUAACACGUGGAGAACCUACCUAUAAGACUGGGAUAACUUCGGGAAACCGGAGCUAAUACCGGAUAAUAUUUUGAACCGCAUGGUUCAAAAGUGAAAGACGGUCUUGCUGUCACUUAUAGAUGGAUCCGCGCUGCAUUAGCUAGUUGGUAAGGUAACGGCUUACCAAGGCAACGAUGCAUAGCCGACCUGAGAGGGUGAUCGGCCACACUGGAACUGAGACACGGUCCAGACUCCUACGGGAGGCAGAAGUAGGGAAUCUUCCGCAAUGGGCGAAAGCCUGACGGAGCAACGCCGCGUGAGUGAUGAAGGUCUUCGGAUCGUAAACCUCUGUUAUUAGGGAAGAACAUAUGUGUAAGUAACUGUGCACAUCUUGACGGUACCUAAUCAGAAAGCCACGGCUAACUACGUG
rnacentral:rRNA from 1 species